AGGAGUGUAGCUCAGUAGUAAAGCACUUGUCUAGUAUGCACCAGAUCUUAGGUUCAACCCCUAGCACUACAA
rnacentral:tRNA from 1 species